GGCCAGGAUGAUAACGAUGAUCUUCUUUCCCAGUCCGAUUCGACCAUGACGAUAUGGGUGCUAUCACGUCUGUUUUUUAAGCAGACUUUUCUUGCCAGUGCAUUAGAUUGCACAUUCAACAAGUAUCUGAGCC
rnacentral:snoRNA from 1 species